GACCUACUAUCCUAUUUGUUGAUCUUUUAAUUGUUGUCUGAUAACUUGAACUUCUCUUAGGUUGCUGGAGCUCACCCGAGUUCUUGGAAGGAUCUGAUCAUUAGAAGGGUGAUAGGUUCGCUUUCCACUUUGUUUUAAUCCUCACAUCUUUCUUAUUAUUGCUUUUUAAUGCAUGAGGUUUUCUUAUUAUUGUUUGGUUUGAUCUGAACUGUUUUUCUUCGUGAAAUUUAACUAUUACUUUUGUAUGUUAGCAUGUUGAUUUCCCAGAUUAAUUUUGUGCCCAAUGUUUGAUAUUCUAGCCAUUCAUUUUUAUCAGUGUAUGGGAAUUGUUGUCUUUCUCUUCCCUAUAGGUGGCAUGGAUGAUUAAACGUGUAUUUUUUUUCAAGCUUGUGCUAUUUUUCAGAUUUGGUGUUGAUCAAUGCCCUGAUUGCACAGAACUGUAAGUUGAUUUUUAUUUUUUUAAUAACUCUGUAUUUUAUUUGUCAUGCACAUGAAUACUAUUAUCUGUUUGGCUUCAAAUUCUUAUCUUUAUUUUCUGUUAUGUUUCAUACACAAUAUGGUGAUCAGUUUACUAUAUAUAUAUAUAUAUAUAUUAUACCUAAUGGAUCAAAUUUUAAUCAAGAAACUGAUGAGUUGUCUAUAUUUCACUAGAAUAUAGACAACUAUGAUCCUAACAUGCAUAAAGGUGCAUGCCUUUGCCUCCGGAGUGCCUUUCUUAACUAUGAUCCUACCAAAUCUGAUUCACUAGAAUUUUUUGCAUGUCUAUAUUUGAUCUUGCAAAUCAUUUGAUUUGUUUCACAUGUACAAGAGUUCUAAAGAAUGUGUAUAAUCUACGACAGUGAUAAAGGAGGAAGUUUAUCAUUAUUUUCAGGGUUAAUGGUUUUCUUGAAAGCAGAUUACUACUUUAAGAUUUGUUCAAAUGUGAAAAUUUUGAAGAUUAGAUUACUACUUUUGAUCACUGAUCAUUAAUUUGCACGCAGUGUUCAUAUAUGUGCUUUUCUUUUCUGAUCAAUUGUUAAAACAAAUAUCCAAUAAUAAUGAUGAGGAAUGGGGGAUGCCUGUUCA